GUGUAGCAGGAGGUGAAAUCGAUGAGAGUAGUUCUUCAUCUUUAGAGGACAUUUGAGGAGGCUCCUGGACAUAAAGCACAGACACAGACAGUGUGUUUAAGAGGAGGAUCCUGCGGUACUGCUACCUGUCCCUGCUGGCAUUAGACUAAAGGUGGGGGAAGUCACCAGUCUAUGACAGGGCUAUCACAUACAGGCAAACAGGGAUACUUCAUACUCAGAUUCACUCCUGGAUGUCUUUGGCACCUGAGGAAACCCACACAGAAUGAUGAAAGCACCCCUCCCACCCCUCUCAUAGACUCUUCACUCCUCUGCCAUCUGGCAGAUGGUGCCGCAACAUCUCUGAGGGUACAGCUUCUUCUUUGAUGCAGUCAGGCUCAACAGCCUGUUUCCUGCAAACAUUCACCAUAACUGAACUAGCCAGACAACAAACCUCCAUGUUCACUUUGUAUGGUUUAUCUAGUGCUUGGUACAGAGUUUAUGUAUUGUUAUUGUUGCACAAUGGCCCUGGAGAAAUAAAAUGUAUUCUAAUAUUUUAUGGAUAGUUUGUCAGAAAAAAUCUACUUGACUUGACCCAACUUACUAAAAUCCCUCACUUGAUAUAUAAUAUUUUUUGUGGCUAAGUAUUUCAUUAAUGAUUAAUCUGCUGAUUAUUUUCUUGAUUAACUAAUUCUAAAUUUUGUGUAUUAAAUGUGAGAAAAUGUUGAAAAAUGCUUGCUAUAACCUCUCACUGCACAAAGUAGCCUCUCUAUAUUUUUUUUUCAAAGUCCAAAGGUAUUCAGUUUACUAUCAUGUACGACAAAGAAAAGCAUCAGAUCCUCACAUUUGAGAAACUGGAAACAGCCAAUGUUUGACAUUUUUGCUUAGAAAGUGACCAAGAUGUUUAUUCAGUUAUCAAAAUUAAAUUUAAAUUGUUGGCAUUCUGUAUAUCAGAAUCCUACAUGGCUUAUACUCAAAUAUACUUUACCU